UUGAACGCUGGCGGCAUGCUUUACACAUGCAAGUCGAACGGUAACAGGCCUUCGGGUGCUGACGAGUGGCGAACGGGUGAGUAAUGCAUCGGAACGUACCCAGAGGUGGGGGAUAACGCAGCGAAAGCUGUGCUAAUACCGCAUGUGAUCUGAGGAUGAAAGCGGGGGACCGAGCAGCAAUGUUUGGCCUCGCGCCUUUGGAGCGGCCGAUGUCGGAUUAGCUAGUUGGUGGGGUAAAGGCCUACCAAGGCGACGAUCCGUAGCUGGUCUGAGGGGACGACCAGCCACACUGGGACUGAGACACGGCCCAGACUCCUACGGGAGGCAGCAGUGGGGAAUUUUGGACAAUGGGCGCAAGCCUGAUCCAGCAAUGCCGCGUGCGGGAAGAAGGCCUUCGGGUUGUAAACCGCUUUUGGCAGGAACGAAACGGUGUCCGCUAAUACCGGGCGCUAAUGACGGUACCUGCAGAAUAAGCACCGGCUAACUACGUG
rnacentral:rRNA from 1 species